CUAGGGGUGAUUUUCUGAGAGUCUUAAAGGACAACCCUUUGAACCUGAUCUGGUUAAUACCAGCGAAGGGAAGUGGA
rnacentral:ncRNA from 1 species